rnacentral:rRNA from 1 species
CCUACGGGAGGCUGCAGUGGGGAAUAUUGCACAAUGGGGGAAACCCUGAUGCAGCGACGCCGCGUGAGUGAAGAAGUCCUUCGUUACGUAAAGCUCUAUCAGCAGGGAAGAAAAUGACGGUACCUGAGUAAGAAGCCUCGGCUAACUACGUUCCAGCCGCCGCGGUACUACGUAGGGGGCAAGCGUUAUCCGGAUUUACUGGGUGUAAAGGGAGCGUAGACGGUGCGCCAAGUCUGGAGUGAAAUGCCGCAGCUUAACUGCGGAACUGCUUUGGAAACUGGCGAACUGGAGUGCGGGAGGGGUAAGCGGAAUUCCUAGUGUAGCGGUGAAAUGCGUAGAUAUUAGGAGGAACACCGGUGGCGAAGGCGGCUUACUGGACCGUAACUGACGUUGAGGCUCGAAAGCGUGGGGAGCAAACAGGAUUAGAUACCCUGGUAGUC